CCCGGAGUCUUUAUUUCCUAGAACCCUUUGCGGGAGUUGGAGUAAUUAAAGGUUUAAUUCAUUAAGUGGUCAUUGCCUGACUGGAAAUACGACAAUAUUUCAAAUCCAGCAAUUAUGGUGUCAAAUUUUAAAUCCGCUCUGAAUUCACUUCCAGAUUCACGACAAUUCUCCGUUUAUUCGCUAACACUGUGCGUGUGGUAUAACGUUACUGCACUACAGGUUCUUACCCAGAAGCCUUUGCUGCUUUGCGUCCGAUACGUUUCUGAAAGGUCAUUGUUACUGUUUAGUGUAAGUUCCAGGUGACGCUCGGUGCUGUUUGAAGCUGAAGGAUAGACAGG